AUUGAACGCUGGCGGCAGGCCUAACACAUGCAAGUCGAGCGAGCGGCGGCCGGGUGAGUACUGUAUGGGGAUCUGCCCGUUAGAGGGGGAUAACUACUGGAAACGGUGGCUAAUACCGCAUACUAUCGGAUGUACCCAUAUGGGAUUAGCUAGUUGGGGGGGUAAAGGCUCACCUAGGCGACGAACCCUAGCUGGUCUGAGAGGAUGACCAGCCAAACUGGAACUGAGACACGGGCCAGAAUCCUACGGGAGGCAGCAGUGGGUAAUAUUGCACAAUGGGCGCAAGCCUGAUGCAGCCAUGCCGCGUGUAUGAAGAAGGCCGUAGGGUUGUAAAGUACUUUCAGCGGGGAGGCGUUACCCGCAGAAGAAGCACCGGCUAACUCCGUGCCAGCAGCCGCGGUAAUAC
rnacentral:rRNA from 1 species